rnacentral:rRNA from 1 species
UACGUAGGGACCAAGCGUUGUUCGGAUUCAUUGGGCGUAAAGGGUGCGUAGGUGGUGGGGUAAGUCGGAUGUGAAAUCCCGGGGCUCAACCCCGGAACUGCAUUCGAUACUGCCUUGCUCGAGUACUGGAGAGGAGACUGGAAUUUACGGUGUAGCAGUGAAAUGCGUAGAUAUCGUAAGGAAGACCAGUGGCGAAGGCGAGUCUCUGGACAGUUACUGACACUGAGGCACGAAGGCCAGGGGAGCAAACGGG